AUUAUGUGCAUCCAUUUUGUAACUCUAAAUGACAACUAAUCACACCAUAACUUAAGAAAAACCUAAUAAAAAUGAAAAUAAAAAGGCUUCAAAUGAAUUUUAUUGGACCUAUGAGUUCAGCCCAAACUUAUUGCACUAAAUUGAUGAUUUUGGAUCCUUUUUGCAAUCCUAAAUUUUGGGCUGAGCCUUGUUGUGUUUGAACACUCCAAAUAUCUUUAAUUAAGCCCAACAAAAUUUCUUGUAUCCUUUUGGACUUGGAUCUUGUCAUUGGACCUCCUUGAAAGCUUAAAG
rnacentral:lncRNA from 1 species